UGAUGCUGUUCAGUGUUCACUCCACCAGCUAGCAUCAGCUACGCCUACGGGCAAGCUGCUGUUAGCAUUUACGAGCUUGCCUUUUUACAACAACACAUGCAUUGGUACUUCGUAUAUGGAGUUUGCAAACUAUAAUGCUGGUCUGCAAAUAUCCAGUGACUUCCCCUAUCCAAGCAAAAAUCCCGACAUAUCGACAUAUCUAAGUGGUGUGUUAGCAUGGAUCCGACCUGCAGUGACUCUGCGGCCCCAGCUGGUCUGACGGUGCAGGUGUGUUUCCCCGGGGCCCGAGCUGCUGUACUAGACAAUCUGAACCGGCAGCGGGAGGAGGGCCGGCUGUGUGACCUCUCCAUCCAGGUG